rnacentral:rRNA from 1 species
AUUGAACGCUGGCGGCAGGCCUAACACAUGCAAGUCGGGCGGAUGAAGGGAGCUUGCUCCUGGAUUCAGCGGCGGACGGGUGAGUAAUGCCUAGGAAUCUGCCUGGUAGUGGGGGAUAACGUCCGGAAACGGGCGCUAAUACCGCAUACGUCCUGAGGGAGAAAGUGGGGGAUCUUCGGACCUCACGCUAUCAGAUGAGCCUAGGUCGGAUUAGCUAGUUGGUGGGGUAAAGGCCUACCAAGGCGACGAUCCGUAACUGGUCUGAGAGGGUGAUCAGUCACACUGGAACUGAGACACGGUCCAGACUCCUACGGGAGGCAGCAGUGGGGAAUAUUGGACAAUGGGCGAAAGCCUGAUCCAGCCAUGCCGCGUGUGUGAAGAAGGUCUUCGGAUUGUAAAGCACUUUAAGUUGGGAGGAAGGGCAGUAAGUUAAUACCUUGCUGUUUUGACGUUACCAACAGAAUAAGCACCGGCUAACUUCGUG